UACGGAGGGUGCGAGCGUUGUCCGGAAUCAUUGGGCGUAAAGGGCGCGUAGGUGGCCCGGUCAGUUCGUGGUGAAAGCCCCGGGCUCAACCUGGGAAUGCCAUUCGAGACUGCAUAGCUAGGGUGCGGAAGAGGGAAGCGGAAUUUCCGGUGUAGCGGUGAAAUGCGUAGAUAUCGGAAGGAACACCAGUGGCGAAAGCGGCUUCCUGGUCCAGCACCGACGUUCAGGCACGAAAGCGUGGGGAGCAAACAGG
rnacentral:rRNA from 1 species